UGGUUCUCGCAUCGAUGAAGAACGCAGCGAAAUGCGAUAAGUAGUGUGAAUUGCAGAAUUCAGUGAAUCAUCGAAUCUUUGAACGCACAUUGCGCCUCCUGGUAUUCCGGGAGGCAUGCCUGUUCGAGCGUCAUUAAAAACCACUCAAGCGUGUUUGCUUGGACUUGGAGGAAGAGCAGCGCCCUCGUGGCGGGUUCCCCUCUGAAAUAUAAUGGCGGAUGAUCCACGAGGACACGGACGUAGUAAGAGCAAUCUCUCGCCGUGCCCUCUGGAUCAUCCCGCCCUCAAUCCCCAAUCACAAUCAUGGUUGACCUCGGAUCAGGUAGGGAUACCCGCUGA
rnacentral:misc_RNA from 1 species